AUUGAACGCUGGCGGCACGCCUAACACAUGCAAGUCGAGCGGCAGCAUGAGUAGUAGCAAUACUACUUGAUGGCGAGCGGCGGACGGGUGAGGAACACGUAGGGAUCUGCCUUAAAGAGGGGGAUAACCAGAGGAAACUUUGGCUAAUACCGCAUGAACUCGAGAGAGAAAAGCUGCCCGCAAGGGUGGCGCUUUAAGAGGAGCCUGCGUCCGAUUAGCUAGUUGGUGAGGUAACUGCUCACCAAGGCGAUGAUCGGUAACUGGUCUGAGAGGACGACCAGUCACACUGGGACUGAGACACGGCCCAGACUCCUACGGGAGGCAGCAGUGGGGAAUCUUGGACAAUGGGGGCAACCCUGAUCCAGCGAUGCCGCGUGGGUGAAGAAGGCCUUCGGGUUGUAAAGCCCUUUAGGUUGGGAAGAAGGUUGGUAGUUUAAGAGAUAAUCAACUUGACGGUACCAACAGAAUAAGCACCGGCAAACUCUGUGCCAGCCGCCGCUGUAAUAC
rnacentral:rRNA from 1 species